GAUGAACGCUGGCGGCGUGCCUAAUACAUGCAAGUCGAGCGAACGGACGAGAAGCUUGCUUCUCUGAUGUUAGCGGCGGACGGGUGAGUAACACGUGGAUAACCUACCUAUAAGACUGGGAUAACUUCGGGAAACCGGAGCUAAUACCGGAUAAUAUUUUGAACCGCAUGGUUCAAAAGUGAAAGACGGUCUUGCUGUCACUUAUAGAUGGAUCCGCGCUGCAUUAGCUAGUUGGUAAGGUAACGGCUUACCAAGGCAACGAUGCAUAGCCGACCUGAGAGGGUGAUCGGCCACACUGGAACUGAGACACGGUCCAGACUCCUACGGGAGACAGCAGUAGGGAAUCUUCCGCAAUGGGCGAAAGCCUGACGGAGCAACGCCGCGUGAGUGAUGAAGGUCUUCGGAUCGUAAAACUCUGUUAUUAGAGAAGAACAUAUGUGUAAGUAACUGUGCACAUCUUGACGGUACCUAAUCAGAAAGCCACGGCUAACUACGUG
rnacentral:rRNA from 1 species